UACAGAGGUGGCAAGCGUUGUUCGGAAUUACUGGGCGUAAAGGGCGCGUAGGCGGUCUUGUAAGUCUUGUGUGAAAUCCCUUGGCUUAACUGAGGAACUGCACGAGAUACUGCAAGACUUGAGAUCGGGAGAGGGAAGCGGAAUUCCGGGUGUAGCGGUGAAAUGCGUAGAUAUCCGGAGGAACACCGGUGGCGAAGGCAAUCCCCUGGGCCUGCACUGACGCUCAUGCACGAAAGCGUGGGGAGCAAACAGG
rnacentral:rRNA from 1 species